rnacentral:rRNA from 1 species
GAUGAACGCUAGCUACAGGCUUAACACAUGCAAGUCGCGGGGUAACAUCUGGUAGAGCUUGCUCUUCCAGGAUGACGACCGGCGCACGGGUGAGUAACGCGUAUCCAACCUGGCCCAUACCACGGGAUAGCCCGUCGAAAGGCGGAUUAAUACCGUAUGCUGUCAUUAAGAUGCAUAUAUUGAUGACGAAAGGACUGGCGGUAUGGGAUGGGGAUGCGUCUGAUUAGCUUGUUGGCGGGGUAACGGCCCACCAAGGCGACGAUCAGUAGGGGUUCUGAGAGGAAGGUCCCCCACAUUGGAACUGAGACACGGUCCAAACUCCUACGGGAGGCAGCAGUGAGGAAUAUUGGUCAAUGGGGCGUAAGCCUGAACCAGCCAAGUAGCGUGAGGGAAGACUGCCCUAGGGUUGUAAACCUCUUUUGUUGGAAUAAGUGCGGGACGUGUCCCGCAUUGCAUGUACCAUUUGAAUAAGGACCGGNUAAUUCCGUG